rnacentral:sRNA from 1 species
CUCAAAUCAGCUAUCUCAGCUGCUUUUCCGAGGGAAACUAUUCCUUCUCGAUAUAGUUCUAUGGCGACAAGUAGUUUUGCUUCCUCUUCCAAUCUUUUUUCUCCAAGGAUUUUUGUUAUAUCUUUCGGGAACCAUAAUCUCACGUAAA